rnacentral:rRNA from 1 species
AUUGACGGGACUCCGCACAAGCAGCGGAGCGUGUGGUUUAAUUCGAUGCUACACGAAGUACCUUACCUGGGUUUGACAUCUAGGUGGUAGCGUAGUGUAAGCGGAGCGACCCUUCGGGGAGCCUAGACAGGUGCUGCAUGGCUGUCGUCAGCUCGUGCCGUGAGGUGUCGGGUUAAGUCCCGUUACGAGCGCAACACAUUGCCCUCCGUUAUACGUGUCAGAGGGGACUGCCGGCGGUUAGCCGGAGGAAGCUGGGGAUGACGUCAAGUCAGCAUGGCCUUUAUAUCCAGGGCUACACACACGCUACAAUGGCCAGUACAAAGGGCAGCGAAGCCGCGAGGUGGAGCGAAUCCCAGCAAAGCUGGUCGUAGUUCGGAUUGCAGGCUGCAACCCGCCUGCAUGAAGCUGGAGUUGCUAGUAACCGCGCGUCAGCCAUACUGCGCUGUAUACGUUCCCGGGGUUUGUACACACCGCCCGUCACGUCAUGGGAGUCGAUUACGCCUGAAGCCGUGUCACAUCGCUCGGAGGAGAGGGCGCUG